CAAAUGAACACCAACAUUUGAAAGCCUAUAUUGCCAAUUAUACCCCUCUCUUCCUUUGCCUUUCUGGGGAAUGAAUGAUACUCCUCCGUCACACUACUACUAUCCCAAGCUCACGGCUUCUCCAACAAUCGCUUCCUAUUUACUAUUUUGCCACCACACUUACUUUCUUCCUUCUAAUUUCCGAUCAUCUGAUAAAAAACCCAGAAUUUCUCCUUCCCUUAGAUGGCGACGACUCCGACGCAGAGCAGCGAAACUAAACCUUUCUCUGUUCUUUUUGUCUGUCUCGGAAACAUUUGUCGGAGCCCAGCAGCUGAAGGUGUCUUUUAGAGAUUUUGUGAAGAAGAGAGAUCUCGAUUCCAAAUUCAAAAUUGAUUCCGCUGGAACCAUUGAUGAUCACGAGGGGAAUAUGGCGGAUCCAAGAAUGACAAGUGCUGCGAAACGUCGUGGGAUUGAGAUAACAUCAUUAUCUAGACCGAUUAAGGCAUCUGAUUUCAGGGACUUUGAUCUCAUUCUUGCAAUGGAUGAACAAAACAAAGAGGAUAUAUUGAAGGCCUAUAAUGUAUGGAAAGCCAGAGGGAAUUUCCCGCCCGAUGCAGAUAAGAAGGUUAAGCUAAUGUGUUCGUAUUGCAAGAAACACAAUGACAAGUUUGUUCCUGAUCCAUAUUAUGGUGGAGCUCAAGGUUUUGAGAAGGUACUGGACUUGCUUCAAGAUGCUUGUGAGUCUUUGCUGGAUAGUAUCACUGCGCAAAGUUGAUGAUACUACAAGUUCAAAGUCCCAAUCCCAGAACCUUUUGUUGUUUUUGCACAUAGAAUUGAAAAUUCUCUUAUUACAUUUAAGCAUCAUCAUUGAUGUCAAUAGAGUGAGAACUGAUGUGAAGCUUGAAUCUUGUUGGUGUUUUCCUUGAAAAAACCUUUGUUAAGUGAUCUACUAAUGGAUCAUUAAUAUUGAGAUUGCUAGCUUCAAUGAUUUCAA